UACGUAGGGUGCAAGCGUUAAUCGGAUUUAUUGGGCGUAAAGGGCGCGUAGGCGGCCGGCACGUCCGUUGUGAAAUCGCCCGGCUCAACUGGGCGGGGUCAGCGGAUACGGUCGAGCUUGAGCAAGCUAGGGGGUAAUGGAAUUCCCGGUGUAGUGGUGAAAUUCGUAGAUAUUCGGAAGAACACCAGUGGCGAAGGCGACUCGCUGGACAAGUAUUGACGCUGAGGUGCGAAAGCGUGGGGAGCAAACAGG
rnacentral:rRNA from 1 species